GCUACACAAAGUCGAUAACACCCCAACUACAGCUUGGCCCAAUAAGCCUAACUCGCCGGCGGCCAGGCCGGCCGCCGGCGCUUCUGGGUCCCUCUUGCUUCGCCUCGGCUCUUCCUCCGGUGCAGCUUGUUCCCGGCGGCGGACUCCUCGAGAGUCGAGACACCGCUCCCCCACCUCCCCCUCAGUGGUUCUUCAUCCUUGCCACCGAGCCAGGUCUCCCCGCGCAGCACACGCCGGAGAUGAACCGAGCCUGGUCCGCGCCGUCUCCGUGCGGCUGCUUGCUCUGCCAUUCCUCCCGCAACGAGUCCGCACCGGAGGACCGGGCGUGCAGGGAAGCUUGGAGGAUGUGAAACUGCAAAAGAGUGUGGCGUUAUUUUUUACUAGCAGCUUGCAGUUGCAGCAGGACCUCUCUAGCACUGGAGUAUGCAAGCCUGCAGGAUGAUCUUUCGCCACAUCACUAAACUGAUGGUAUUACCAAUUUUUUCGAAAGUUACCUGCUACGCCUUCAGGGCACACCUUCCAUUUGGAUGUGAUUUGUCUGGACUCUGCAAUCCUUAUUUAAACAUGGAUCUCCAGCCUGCAAGAUGAAAAUUUCACGAGCAUUUCUUGGAUAUUAAAUGGUUUUCCUGUUUCCAGGAGAGAGGGGGGAAGAGAAUAAAAUAAGCCCAGCUUUUUAUUUCUGAAGUAUAUAAUAGGUCCCUUUGGAUGGCUCUGAUUAACACCGGGAAGCAUUACAAGAGUUUGACAGUUGAAAGACACUACUUAAGGCUGAUGUGAUCAGACGUGGUUUGGAUUAUUUUGAUAGACACAAAGCAGAAGUUUUUAUGAGCAUUUGACAAGCUGUGAGCCUCCACAAGUUUGCUAGCUUCUUGAUUCUCUGCUCUUCUCAUUCGCCUGUAUUUGACCAUGACCAGGCGACAUCUUUGGUCUGGAGAAGCAUUGGCCUCGGCCCUCAACAUCCAGUUACCAGGAGCUGCAGUUGGAGCUUGUUAUGAGAUAUCUCUGAUGAGCAAUCUGGAAAGGCAGAGCAAUAGGUGACGGACUGUAAAAGCAACCAACUGAAGACUCCAGAUGGCCUCUGAAUGAAGACCAAAAUGUCUUUUACUAUGAUUUUGGACCCUGCAAUGAGCAACAGUACAAUUUGAAUCCUAAAUAGAUUGUGCAGCCAUUCUGAAACUGAAAGCGAAAAGUUCAAAUCAUCUACAUGAAAUGUGGUAGCGGUGGCUGAAAUCCUUGCCAGAACAACAAUAAAACUUUAUUCUGGAACAAGAUGGAGCAUUUUGUGAAACACUAGCCUGAAUAGCAAGAGCCCAUAGAAAUCUCAGCCUGGAUGUAGCAGACAGUAAGGCAUCAGGACGUCAUGCACUAGAAAAUUCUUGGGACGUGUCAGUUGAUUUUUCAUGGUGCUCCUUUACCAGAGAGCUGGGGAGGUGCUUGUGAAACCUGUCUCUAAUUGCUUGCAACUCUUUAAGAGCAUCUCCGAUCGGUGGACGAUCUGCUGGUGUCUCAUGUGAACAGAAAAUUCCAACUUGCAGAAUGGAGGCAAUGCAGGAAAUUCUCAUAUCUCUAAUACUGCCAGAGUAAGAAAUGCUUGCUUCUUUGUUUUCUGUCUCUGUUAGUAGCUGUUGGUCCACGAUACUACUCACUCUGUCUGGAAACGCCAUUUGAACGUACUUGUGGAGUCCAAUGGCUUCUCCAAAUUCACUGUCCAUUGGACGUUUUCCAGUGAACAUCUCCAGCAACAGUAUUCCAUAGCUGUAGACAUCACCAUGGGUGGAGACUUCAUUGCCCAGUCCAUACUCUGCCAACCAAAAUGACAUCUUUUUAAGAAAGUUAUCUCUGAAGAAUUUGAUAUGCUCCUUGAAUGUUUUAUGUUCAGUAUAAAAUUCAUUUACAAAAACUACAUUUAAUAAUAUAAUUUACAACAACAACAAAGCCUUUUAAUAAUAUAAUUUAGUUCCAUGAAAUUUUAGAUUCAGCUCCUUCAGAUUCUAAAAAGUUCAGUUAUGCUGAGCUGUACAUAUCUACGUGAAGUAAAGUAGGCAUUUCAGACUAUAUAUAUUGGAAGAAGAUCAAUUAGAAAAUAGAAGCACACCUGGAGCUGCAUAGCCAAUCGAUCCUCUCAUUGAUGCCCAACCACUUGACUGAUUCGUGUCUUGAUGUAGAAACCUUGCAAGCCCAAAAUCACCAACAUGAGCAACCAUGUCACUGUCCAGUAGAAUAUUGCUUGGCUUAAGAUCGCAGUGAAUAAUAGGUGUUGGCUUAUACUGGUGAAGGUAAUCAAGUGUGGAUGCCACAUCAAUCGCAAUGUGUAGCCUUCCAAUCAAAUCCAGUGCCUCAUGUUCACCAUCUUCCAGGAUAGGUUGGUGCAGCCAUUGGUCUAAAUUUCCAUUUGGUAGAAACUCAUACACAAGGGCCUUGAAUUCACGACCCUGAAAAUCAAUACUGGAGCAGACUGUCAAGAUCUUCACAAGGUUACGAUGUCGAGCACAUCUUAAAGUCUCACAUUCUGCAAUAAAACUUCGAGUUGCGCCACGUUGCAUGAGGUUGAGAACCUUAACAGCGACUGCCACAUGCCUCCCAUUGCCUCUCAUUCUACCUUUGUAGACCGAACCAAAGCUCCCUGCUCCGAUGAGGUUCUCGGAUGAGAAACCAUCUGUUGCAUUGGCCAAUUCAACAUAAGAUACUCUCACGUAUUGGUGUUGCUCAUCGAUGGCUGGCCUUUGUAAGUUUUCUUUUGUUUUUUGGGUCUUUCUGUAGAAAGACAGUGCAAGUGCAAAUAUUGCGACGAAAAGAAAUGCACUGCAUACGGAGACUAUUAUGGCCACUUCCCGUGAUGGCCUCUUGCUGCUGUGGAUAGAGCAGGGUGGCAAUUUCAGUUGAGGGAUACCACCACAGAGGCCAUCGUUUCCUGUGAUAGAGAUUGCAGUGGCAUUGAGAAAUACCCCGUCUUUUGGCACUCCACCUUGCAAUUUGUUGAACGAGAGAUUCAAUGAAGAAAGCCCUGGUAGCUUGCCAAGUAUUUCUGGGAUUGUCCCAGAUAAAUUAUUGUAGGAAAGAUCAACCACCAAGAGGCCUCUUAGGUUUCCUAGGGACGUUGGAAUCGUCCCUUGAAGCAUGUUUACAGAUACAUUAAGAUGUUCCAAGCUUUGACACUCUCCAAUGGAGGCUGGAAUUUCACCAGAAAUUAUAUUAUUAGAUAAAUCAAUUUCAUUGAGAUUUUUGAGAUUCCCCACUUCUGAUGGGAAAGGCCCUGAUAAGGAAUUAUGUGCGAGAUUCAUGGAUUUCGACAGUGUUGAUAUGAAAAAUAGUUCUUUGGGUAUUGGACCAGAAAGAUUGUUGUUAGAAAGAUCCAAUUUUUCUAAAGGACAGUUGCUGAGACUGGAUGGUAUAGCUCCUCUUAUCGCAUUAUUACUCAGGAUGAGGGUACUAAGUUUUGUAAGAUUGCCCAGAGCUACAGGGAUGGGCCCUGACAGCGCAUUAUUUGAUAAAGAUAACUUGUUCAACUUCUUGAGUUUGCUUAGAGAUGCUGGAAUGGUGGAUGCUAGCAUAUUAUAUUCCAUAUCAAGUUCACUUAGGUUGAUGAGGUUCCCUAUUCCUUCUGGUAUUGCUCCAGUUAUCUUGUUGUCUCCUAUGCUAAGAAGUUCCAUUCGUGUGGAAAGAUUACCAAUGGAAUUUGGUAGCACACCUUCGAGUUUGUUGGAACCCAAAACCAAUCUCCUCAUCUUGCUAGAAUUGGUUAGACCAGCCAGGAAGCCCCAGUCAGCAUCAUUUCUUGAUUCGAAGUUACUCCCUGCAAGCAACACCACGGAGAGGUUCUCUUGGUGAGUUCCCAAGCACUGGGGAAUUGUGCCUGACAUGAAGGUGGUUACUAUUUCAAUGACUUGAAGCAUGGAGGCAUUGCAUAUGGAUGAUGGGAGCGAACCCUGAAAUUGAUUGAUUGAUGCAAAUAGUAAUUUUAGACUUGGUAACUUGCUACCCAUAUCAGGUGGAAAAUCCCCAGUGAAAUUGUUGAAAUCCAAUAGCAGAAGUUCAAGAGAAGAGAGAUUGAACAUCGCAUGAGGCAAUGACCCUUCUAGCGCAUUUUUGGAUAGAUAAAGUUCGGUGAGGUCAUGGAGGUUUCCAAUUGACUGUGGUACGGAACCUGAAAGAUUGUUCACUGAGAGAGAAAGGAUCUGAAGUAACUCAAGGUUUCCUAAUGAUUCUGGGAUUUGACCCACUAGACUGUUAUACUUGAGACUUAAGUAAACUAAUGAAGAGAGGUUUCCUAACCAAGAAGGGAUGUUUCCUGUGAGCUUGUUGCUCGCCAACUCAAGUAUUUGGAGAGAUGAUAAGCCUUGGAGUGGUGGGAUGUGUUCUAGGUUAUUGUUGGGAAUAGUAAGAACGGUCAAUGCUGAGAGGUUUCCAAGUGAAGCAGGGAUACUUCCAUAAAACAGAUUGUAGCCUAGAUCUAGCUCGCCGAGACUGACAAGAUUGCCUAUCUCUGCUGGGAUUUCCCCAGUCAAAUUGUUGAAUGUUAGAUCGAGGUAUCUGAGAUUCACAAGGUUCCCUAUACUGGAAGGUAUGGUUCCUGUAAGUGCAUUAGAUUCAAGAUGGAGUAUUUGGAGAUUAUGCAGUGAGCCGAACUCUCCUGGUAUCAGCCCCUGCAAUUUGUUAUCAUUGAUUGAAAUAUUGACAAGGUGGCUGCAGUUGGAGAGUGAUGGUGGAAUCUUCCCUUCAAUGGAGUUGUAGCUAAGCUGCAGAUCCUCAAGGUCAUAGAGAUUACGGAGCUCUGGCGGCAGGAUCCCAUGGAAGUGAUUCGACGAAAGGUUGAGCAGCCUCAGGUACGUGAGGUUUCCCAGCGCAGGAGUGACGGUGCCAACAAGGUCGAGCUCACCGAGGUCCAACACCACCACACGGCCAUGGCGCCUUCCCUUCAGGCCACACGACACGCCCUGCCACUGGCACAUCGGCACAGACCGGUUGCCCCACGUCGCCAGAGCUCUCGAUGGGUCACUCGAAACUUGUGACUUGAAUGCCAUGAGCGCGAGGUGAUCGGAGGAAUUGGAGGUGGAUGCUGCAUGAGCUGCGAGGAAGAGAGAGGUCUGUGUCAUGCUUGUGGUGCAGCAAGCUAGAGAGACAAAGGCCAGCAAGAGAUGCUCAAGGAACAGCACCAUUAUUGCUGUGUUGAUUGGGGAAAGAUUAGCUGGUCGUUUGUGCUUGUUUUAGUGCAAAGCAACCAGCCAGAGAUCAGGCUACUUAUAUGGUUGGAGGCAGCAGACAGUUCAACAGAUAAAGCAAAACAAAGCUUAAAAGACUCAAACAGAAGAAAGUUGCGGCAAGUAGAUUUCCAGAUGCCGCUUCACUGCCGGCUGGGUACGUCUUUUCUGUUCUGCCUCUGUUGUCAUCAAGCCGUUGGAGGGAUUCUCCAGGUGUCCUCGCCUAUGUUGGAAAAAAUCUCUAACCCUAAACAUAUUUUAGUAACAUGUGCCCAGCAUUGCUCCGAAAGUCCGGAUACUACUGAAAUUUGCAACCGAAGGCUGCUUAGUAUUAUUCCAGUUAGAAUUUUUAUUUUGUUGUUUUCACAUUAUCUCCUCAAAACUUUAUGUUUCUUUGUUAUUUCAUAAGCAUUAACAUUUUUUUGAAAGGGCAAAGCAUUAACACUUAGAUUGCAUCUUUUGGCAAAAGAAACCUAAGAUAGCAUCAAAAUUAGGUAUGCAACGACCUCUUACUGAUCUAGGCCGGUACAACAUGUUGCCACAGGUUUUUUUAAAAAAAAUCUUGGUUCUGAUCUGGUGAGUGAACAACUGUGCUCGUCUUCUUUGCGUUUGAGGCAAGUUGUUCAAUGUCUUAUGAAGUUGCUCAGAAAUGGAGCAGCAGUUUAGUCGCCAAAGAUCAUUUUCAGUUCAUCAAUUAAUACACGUUUGUUAGGAAAAACUAAAGAUCAUUUUCAGUUCAUCAAUUAAUACACGUUUGUUAGGAAAAACUAGUCUAUGUUUGGUUUUGGAACGCUGCUAUACAUAUGAAUGCUAUGUGUGAAUCAAGGAGAGUUAUUAGCAUUUAGCAGCAUCACUUAGUCGCACACUGCUCCAACAUUCAUACGUGCAGCAUUCUCUCUUGUUUUGAUGCAAGUCUGUCAUUGCCAACCGACCACUCAAUCGAUCAACAAAGUAGCUAUUUCUAAACACAGGCGAGUGGUCAUGGAUCAUUAAUUUUUUAAUAUUAUAUAUUAUCCGUAUGUCACUGUCAUGUUGAGGAAGCAAAGGAUACUGCCACUUUCAGUCAAUUUAAACAGCCAGUUGCACUUUGAUUUAUGCAUAAUUUUUCGUAGUACAUUUAUGAUCAAUACAUAUAUCUAUUUUCCUUCAAAAUUGAUAUAUAAUGUAACAAACUACCACUGCAAACUGUUGUUUAUCAUGGUUGUGAAACCGUGCAUGUGUGUCAGUAUGUCAAGGAAUCGGCGAUAUAUUCUCUUGUAUCAGCUGAAGUGUCACCAUAAAAAUCAAAAACUCCAAGUUCGGCAUAAGUAGUAGACCGAUAUGUCAAUGUGAACUCAGCUGUUUGCUGUCUCUUUGUAAGAGCCAAUUCAACUUGCUUUUGACAGUGCAAGGAAAAUAGAAGAUGGUGAUGUGAUGCAGUUGUUUUCUCGCA